GAAUUUUGGACAAUGGGGGCAACCCUGAUCCAGCCAUCCCGCGUGUGCGAUGAAGGCCUUCGGGUUGUAAAGCACUUUUGGCAGGGAAGAAACGGCUAUGGCUAAUAACAGGAGCUGAUGACGGUACCUGCAUAAUAAUCACCGGCUAACUACGUGCCAGCAGCCGCGGUAAUACGUAGGGUGCAAGCGUUAAUCGGAAUUACUGGGCGUAAAGCGUGCGCAGGCGGUUUGGCAAGAAGGAUGUGAAAUCCCAGGGCUUAACCUUGGAACUGCAUUCUUAACUGCCAGGCUAGAGUAUGUCAGAGGGGGGUAGAAUUCCACGUGUAGCAGUGAAAUGCGUAGAGAUGUGUAGGAAUACCGAUGGCGAAGGCAGCCCCCUGGGAUAAUACUGACGCUCAUGCACGAAAGCGUGGGGAGCAAAC
rnacentral:rRNA from 1 species